rnacentral:rRNA from 1 species
UACGUAGGGUGCAAGCGUUGUCCGGAAUUAUUGGGCGUAAAGAGCUCGUAGGCGGUCUGUCACGUCGGCUGUGAAAACCCGGGCUCAACCCGGGCCUGCAGUCGAUACGGGCAGACUAGAGUGCGGUAGGGGAGACUGGAAUUCCUGGUGUAGCGGUGAAAUGCGCAGAUAUCAGGAGGAACACCGGUGGCGAAGGCGGGUCUCUGGCUCAUUCUGACGCUCAGGCGCGACAGCGUGGGGAGCAAACAGG